GAUGAACGCUGGCUACAGGCUUAACACAUGCAAGUCGAGGGGAAACGACGGGGAAGCUUGCUUCCCCGGGCGUCGACCGGCGCACAGGUGAGUAACGCGUAUCCAACCUGCCUCUGACUGAGGGAUAACCCGUCGAAAGUCGGCCUAAUACCUCAUGGCAUCGUCUGCGGGCAUCCAACGACGAUUAAAGAUUUCAUCGGUCAGGGAUGGGGAUGCGUCUGAUUAGCUUGUUGGCGGGGUAACGGCCCACCAAGGCUACGAUCAGUAGGGGUUCUGAGAGGAAGGUCCCCCACAUUGGAACUGAGACACGGUCCAAACUCCUACGGGAGGCAGCAGUGAGGAAUAUUGGUCAAUGGGCGGGAGCCUGAACCAGCCAAGUAGCGUGCAGGAUGACGGCCCUAUGGGUUGUAAACUGCUUUUAUGCGGGGAUAAAGUGAGGGACGUGUCCUUCAUUGCAGGUACCGCAUGAAUAAGGACCGGCUAAUUCCGU
rnacentral:rRNA from 1 species